CCGGCAGUCACGCUCCAUCACGUGACGGACGCUGCGCACGUCCUCGAUCCCCGCCGCUCAGGACUCGAACCCGUGUUCCCCUGGCAGCUGUGCGUCUUUGGAGUUCGGGGCUUGGUGGCCACGCGAUUCCUACUCGGAAGGCGCGGGAAAAGGCUGCGAGGCGGUCCCCGCCUCCGAGACCCUGGACCGCGGUCCCAGCGAGGGCAGGGGGCCACCACCCUGGGCCGGCUCGGGGUGGCCUCAGUUUCCCCUGGCUUGUAGGAAACAGCGUCCCAUCGUUGAAGCCAUGGGAGAGAGGGGUGUUCAGUUUGGAGCUCAGACUUUCAAGUGUGACCGGCGUUUGGUGGAGCUCGGGGACAGGCCGUCGCCCUCUGCCCGUGUAUCAGGCACUUAACCUGGUUUGCCCCAGCUUUACAGGUUAGAAAACUGAGGCUCUGGCAGGUUAAACCAUCAGGCCCGACUGAUCAUGGUCGUCGUAAAAGCAGUUAAGAUAUUUGGAUGCAAACCUGGUUCAAAGGCCGGUCUUUUCUUCUGCUGGUAGGACUCAGGAAAAUUUGGACUGCGAGUACGGCUCCCCUUUCCCGGCUGGACUUUACUCCCAACCUCACGCUUCUCCACCCUUCCUUCAUUGCUUCCACAAAUACCGAGCACCCACAUUGUCAGCACUGGGGCUUUGGGGGUAAACGAUGCUGAUCAUCUUGAGGUGUAGAAAGCCCCAGAACAAUCUGUAGGUGGUGUAGAUGUAUGACCUGCUGAGGAGAACCGUGCUAACCUCAGCCCAGCAUGGAACAAGGUGGAGGGUGCUACUGUGCUUUAUGCCUAAAGGCCUGCCUGACCAGAGGCCCCAGUCACAGCAACAUGGACUAGAGGACCUGCAGUCCCAGACAGCUCAUGCUCUGUGUGAACCUUGAAGCUAUAUCUUCUCUGUUGAAGCAAUCUGAGACCUCAGUGUGGAUGACUGUGCAGGGCAGGCUGGUGCUCAAGGUAUACCUGAGAGAAGAGGCAGAGCAAGUCUGAGCAGCUGACCUCUCCACAUUCUUCCAGGCUUCCCCAGAUACCUCCUGUGCCAGCUGUUUUAUACGUUUGCUCACUUAGCCUUACGAUGCAUCUGUGUUCGAAGCCUCCAUACUCAGCUGAAGAAACUCAGAAAAAUGAAGAGAGUCAUCCAAGGCCUUCAGCCAGGGUCCACUGUGCUCAGCCUGGUUUGCCUGUAAAUGUUUCAGCUUUCACUCUCUCAUGUAUGUGCAUGAGUAUGUGAGAGUGCAAGUGUGUGUGUGUCUGUGUGUGUCUGUGUGAUAUGUGCAUGCUUGUAGCCAGAGAAGGAUGUCUGGUAUCUUCCUCUAUUGUUCUCCAACUUUAAAAAAAUGUUUAAAAUUAUGUGUAUAUCUGUGUCUGUGUAGGGGCUUGUGCAAGUGACUAUAGUACCCUUGGAGGCCAGAAGAGGGCAUUAGAUCCCCUAGAGCUACUGGUGGAGUUACUGGUGGUUGUAAGUUGUCCUAUGUGGAUGUUAGGAACCAAAAUCAGGGUCCUCUGUUAAGAGCAGUGUGUGCUCUUAACCAUUGAACCAUCUUUCCAGACCCUCCACCAUAUUUUUUGAGACAGGGUCUCUCACAAAGCCUGAAGCUUGCUGUUUUAGCUAGGCUAGCUGGCCAGUAAGCUCCUGACAUCUCUGUCUCCACCAGUCCCCAGUGCUGGGAUUCUUGUUAAUGUGGGUGCUAUCAAUUUAAACUCCAGUCCUCUUGCUUGCAUAGCAACAGCCCUUACUCACUGAGCCAUCUCCCAGCCCCCAACUUCCUGUUUUAAUAAUGAUAGUGACCCCAGACAUGCCAACCUGCUAUCUGACCAUGGCAUGAUCUAUGUCUAUUACCAUCCAGUUACAGAUGGUAGGUGCUGUCAUUGGACAAUCUCACUUUGAACACAAGCAGUGUGACAAAUGCAGGUGGAUUCUGUGAAUACUUUCUGUUAAUUUAACUCAGAAAGAAUGAGUUUGAGCUGGUUGGGGUGAUUUGUGUUUGUAAUUCCAGCACUUAGGAGGCUGAGGCAGAAGGAUCUUAAUUAAAUUCAAGACCAUCCUGGACUAUAUAGUGACAUCUUGUCCCAAAAAG